GAGACCUGGGCUCUUGGCUUUCCCGCCACCUUUGUCUCUUUAGCAGGUGAUGGAAUGAGCUUGGCAAGACCCGUUCGGCCACCUCUUCUUUUGGACGGAGGGGAAGCAGCUGCUGUAACACUAGACCAGGUAAGGGGAAGGACCCCUGGGAAGAUGGGCAGGUGGCAGCGAUGGGGCCUCUUAUCUCCUGUGCGCCUCCUUCAGCUUCAACAAAUCCCUCUCCUUCUCUUUGCUUCUGUCUGAGCUACAUGCAAGGAAGGCCGUGUAUGCCAGGCAGAUUUGAAGCACCUUUCCUUUCCGAGUCUUCUGGAUUUUGCUUGUCGAUGACCUUCAUGUUAAACUUCCAUACUUCCUUCCUUCCUUUUAAAAAAAUAAAAUAAAAAUUAUUCAUUUUUAUUCAUUAUAACAUUAUAACUUUUGAAUUAUGGUGCUGGAGGAGACUCUUGAGAG
rnacentral:lncRNA from 1 species